rnacentral:rRNA from 1 species
GACGGAGGGGGCAAGCGUUGUCCGGAAUCACUGGGCGUAAAGGGCGUGCAGGUGGUGCGGUGCGUCGGUGCUGAAAACGGCGGGCUCAACCCGUCGAUGGGUGCCGAUACGACCGCACUGGAGGCAGUGAGAGGUGUGCGGAAUUCCGUGUGUAGCGGUGAUAUGCGUAGAGAUACGGAGGAACACCUGUGGCGAAAGCGGCACACUGGCACUGACCUGACACUGAGGCGCGAAAGCGUGGGGAGCGAACCGGAUUAGAUACCCGGGUAGUCCACGCCGUAAACGAUGUUGGCUCGGCGCGUGGUGGUGGGAAACCGCCGCUGGGUGCCUAAGCUCACGCGGUAAGCCAACCGCCUGGGGAGUACGAGCGCAAGCUUAAAACUCAAAGGAAUUGACGGGGGCCCGCACAAGCAGCGGAGCGUGUGGUUUAAUUCGAUGCAACACGAAGAACCUUACCCAGGUUGGACAUGACCCUGCAAACGGCGGAAACGUCGUUGCCUUCGAGGGUGGGUCACAGGUGCUGCAUGGCUGUCGUCAGCUCGUGUCGUGAGAUGUUGGGUUAAGUCCCGCAACGAGCGCAACCCCCGCGGUCAGUUACAAGUGUCUGACCGGACUGCCCCGCAACGGGAGGAAGGUGGGGAUGAUGUCAAGUCCGCAUGGCCCUUACGCCUGGGGCAACACACACGCUACAAUGGCGCGUACAAUGCGUUGCGAGCGCGCAAGCGUCAGCUAAUCGCCAAAGCGCGUCUCAGUGCAGAUCGGGGGCUGCAACUCGGGCCCCGUGAAGGCGGAGUUGCUAGUAACCGC